rnacentral:rRNA from 1 species
UACGUAGGGUGCAAGCGUUGUCCGGAAUUAUUGGGCGUAAAGAGCUCGUAGGCGGUCUGUCGCGUCUGCUGUGAAAACUCAGGGCUUAACCCUGGACCUGCAGUGGGUACGGGCAGACUGGAGUGCGGUAGGGGAGAUCGGAAUUCCUGGUGUAGCGGUGAAAUGCGCAGAUAUCAGGAGGAACACCGGUGGCGAAGGCGGAUCUCUGGGCCGUAACUGACGCUGAGGAGCGAAAGCAUGGGGAGCGAACAGG